rnacentral:rRNA from 1 species
UGUGUGACGAAUAUGACGGUAGCACAUGAAUAAGGAUCGGCUAACUCCGUGCCAGCAGCCGCGGUCAUACGGAGGAUCCAAGCGUUAUCCGGAAUUACUGGGCGUAAAGAGUUGCGUAGGUGGCAUAGUAAGUAGAUAGUGAAAGCGUUCGGCUCAACCGGAUACACAUUAUCUAAACUGCUAAGCUUGAGGAUGAGAGAGGUUAUUGGAAUUCCCUGUGUAGGAGUGAAAUCCGUAGAUAUAGG